rnacentral:piRNA from 1 species
UGUGAAUGGUGGUUCUGUCAAGACUGGG